AGCAGGUCAAGCACUACGUUACUGGGAUCUAAGCAUUUACAAGGAAUUAAUCUGUGUUUCUGAAGUAUACUGCUGCAUCAGUAUGAUCCUCUCUCCUUAGAAGGGGCAGAGGAGGAAAAAAAAGAACUGUUAAAGCUUUGAUUUGACUUGAAGGCAAAUGAAACUGAUGAACUUAAAGGGCAUUUAGCAGGUUUGUUUUCUGAAGAAAUAGGAUCUUAGGCUGGUCAAAGAAAUUGAGACCAUUCCUGGGUUCCGCCGCAUCAUCUUUUCAGAGCUAGAAAAAAGUGUGCAGUGUUACUAUUCUGGAAUGGGCUGGUUUUGUUAUUCAUAUUAUUAAGCUUUUUUUUUAGACUGUUUUCACUCAGAGCUGAGGUUACUGAAAUAUUGCUUGAAGUCAGAUGUUCCUGGGAAUAUUACCAAAGAUUUUGUGUUAUUCUGGAUGUAGAUACUUCACGGGUGAAAACAAGCUAGAGUAGUUUCUAUUGGCCAUAGACAAGGCACCAAUCUAUUUGUUUGAGUGUGUUUGUUCUUUCUACAACUUUUGAUACAGGUCAGCAAAUCUAUUAAUGUCACCUGAUAAGCAUGGCCUUUAUAAAUUAAUGAUCACAUGCCCUUGGAAACCAAGUGUUUGUUUAAUUUAAAACAGAAGUUCUUAUUUCAUGAGGGUGGGUUCCAUCAAGCUGGAGGCAGUCAACUACAUAUUAUCUUUAUGCUGCAGUAGUUCAGAGAGUACAAGGUACAUCCUGGAAAAUAUUUAAGUCCUGUGUUAAUUGUUGGCAUGACAUAUUUCAACAUUUUAUUGUGUCUCUUGGGGUGGAAAUGUAUAGUACGUUCUUCCAAAAAUAGAUAAAAGACAACAAACAUGUGAAGAACAAGAGUAUUAGAGUCUUUUUUUCAGAAAAGCAGUGCUAGUGCACUCAGUAGUGAAACUGCUCCCUUUUUCCUACUAUUCUUCAUAUUUUAUCACAGGUACUGAUGGAACUGGAAAGAUAUUACUACCUAUGAAAAUGUAAAUAUCAUUUUUUCUCCAUUUUAAAAAAAAAUUAUCCAUUACUUAAGACAUAUCUUCAUGUGCUUUAUGUUUUCAGGAGAAAUAGUAGCUUUGCUAAACUACCAAAGCAUGGGUCUACCACUGCUUGAGGUGUGCUUGAGCCUUGCUAAACUUAUCUUAAAAGCCUUUAUGCUAUCCAUGUUUAUGCUUACCUAAAAAACUUGAACAGUACUUGAGUUAAUCUCAUG